rnacentral:rRNA from 1 species
UGGGGAAUCUUGCGCAAUGCGCGAAAGCGUGACGCAGCAACACCGCGUGGGGGAAGACGGCCUUCGGGUUGUAAACCCCUUUCAGGAGGGACGAAGGUCGGCCGGUGAAUAGCCGUGCCGACUGACGGUACCUCCAGAAGAAGCACCGGCUAACUACGUGCCAGCAGCCGCGGUAAUACGUAGGGUGCAAGCGUUGUCCGGAAUCAUUGGGCGUAAAGCGCGCGUAGGCGGCCCGAUAAGUCCGCUGUAAAAGUCAACGGCUCAACUGUUGAAAGCCGGUGGAUACUGUCGGGCUAGAGUACGGAAGAGGCAAGUGGAAUUCCUGGUGUAGCGGUGGAAUGCGCAGAUAUCAGGAGGAACACCUAUAGCGAAGGCAGCUUGCUGGGACGUUACUGACGCUAAGGCGCGAAAGCGUGGGGAGCGAACAGG